rnacentral:rRNA from 1 species
GGUAAAGCUCACCAAGGCAACGAUCCGUAGCUGGUUUAGGGACGACCAGCCACACUGGGACUGAGACACGGCCCAGAUUCUACGGGAGCAGCAGUGGGAAUUUGGACAAUGGGGGAAACCCUGAUCCAGCCAUCCCGCGUGUAUGAUGAAGGCCUUCGGGUUGUAAAGUACUUUUGGCAGAGAAGAAAAGGUAUCCCCUAAUACGGGAUACUGCUGACGGUAUCUGCAGAAUAAGCACCGGCUAACUACGUGCCAGCAGCCGCGGUAAUACGUAGGGUGCAAGCGUUAAUCGGAAUUACUGGGCGUAUAGCGUGUGUAGGCGGUUCGGAAAGAAAGAUGUGAAAUCCCAGGGCUCAACCUUGGAACUGCAUUUUUAACUGCCGAGCUAGAGUAUGUCAGAGGGGGGUAGAAUUCCACGUGUAGCAGUGAAAUGCGUAGAUAUGUGGAGGAAUACCGAUGGCGAAGGCAGCCCCCUGGGAUAAUACUGACGCUCAGACACGAAAGCGUGGGGAGCAAACAGGAUUAGAUACCCUGGUAGUCCACGCCCUAAACGAUGUCAACUAGCUGUUGGGGCCGUUAGGCCUUAGUAGCGCAGCUAACGCGUGAAGUUGACCGCCUGGGGAGUACGGUCGCAAGAUUAAAACUCAAAGGAAUUGACGGGGACCCGCACCAGCGGUGGAUGAUGUGGAUUAAUUCGAUGCAACGCGAAAAACCUUACCUACCCUUGACAUGUCUGGAAAGCCGAAGAGAUUUGGCCGUGCUCGCAAGAGAACCGGAACACAGGUGCUGCAUGGCCGUCGUCAGCUCGUGUCGUGAGAUGUUGGGUUAAGUCCCGCAACGAGCGCAACCCUUGUCAUUAGUUGCUACGCAAGAGCACUCUAAUGAGACUGCCGGUGACAAACCGGAGGAAGGUGGGGAUGACGUCAAGUCCUCAUGGCCCUUAUGGGUAGGGCUUCACACGUCAUACAAUGGUCGGGACAGAGGGUCGCCAACCCGCGAGGGGGAGCCAAUCUCAGAAACCCGAUCGUAGUCCGGAUCGCAGUCUGCAACUCGACUGCGUGAAGUCGGAAUCGCUAGUAAUCGCGGAUCAGAAUGUCGCGGUGAAUACGUUCCCGGGUCUUGUACACACCGCCCGUCACACCAUGGGAGUGGGUUUCACCAGAAGUAGGUAGCCUAACCGUAAGGAGGGCG